AGUGAACGCUGGCGGUAGGCCUAACACAUGCAAGUCGAACGGCAGCACAGUAAGAGCUUGCUCUUACGGGUGGCGAGUGGCGGACGGGUGAGGAAUACAUCGGAAUCUACUUUUUCGUGGGGGAUAACGUAGGGAAACUUACGCUAAUACCGCAUACGACCUACGGGUGAAAGCAGGGGAUCUUCGGACCUUGCGCGAUUGAAUGCGCCGAUGUCGGAUUAGCUAGUUGGCGGGGUAACGGCCCACCAAGGCGCCGAUCCGUAGCUGGUCUGAGAGGAUGAUCAGCCACACUGGAACUUAGACACGGUCCAGACUCCUACGAAAAGCAGCAGUGGGGAAUAUUGGACAAUGGGCGCAAGCCUGAUCCAGCCAUACCGCGUGGGUGAAGAAGGCCUUCGGGUUGUAAAGCCCUUUUGUUGGGAAAGAAAAGCAGCAGGUUAAUACCCCGCUGUUCUGACGGUACCCAAAGAAUAAGCACCGGCUAACUUCGUG
rnacentral:rRNA from 1 species